CCUACGGGUAGCAGCAGUGGGGAAUUUUGCGCAAUGCUCGUAAGAGUGACGCAGCGACGCCGCGUGAAUGACGAAGGCCUUCGGGUCGUAAAGUUCUUUCGACAGGGAAGAAAAUGCCUAUAAGUAACUGUGUAUGUAUUGACGGUACCUGUAUAAUCAGCCCAGGCUACCUCCGUGCCAGCGGCCGCGGUAGACGGAGGGGGCGAGCGUUGUUCGGAGGGAAUGGGCGUAAAGAGCACGUAGGCGGUGUUGUAAGUCAUUAGUUAAAGACUAGAGCUCAACUUUAGUAAGGCUAGUGAUACUAUAAUACUAGAGUAUCAGAGAGGAUUGCAGAAUUCCUGGUGUAGCGGUGAAAGGCGUAGAUAUCAGGAGGAAUACCGUUAGCGAAGGCGGCAAUCUGGCUGGAAACUGACGCUGAGGUGCGAAAGCGUGGGUAGCAAACAGGAUUAGAUACCCUUGUAGUC
rnacentral:rRNA from 1 species